GUAGGUGGCAAGCGUUGUCCGGAAUUAUUGGGGCGUAAAGCGCGCGCAGGCGGUUCUUUAAGUCUGAUGUGAAAGCCCACGGGCUCAACCGUGGAGGGUCAUUGGAAACUGGAGAACUUGAGUACAGAAGAGGAAAGCGGAAUUCCACGUGUAGCGGUGAAAUGCGUAGAGAUGUGGAGGAACACCAGUGGCGAAGGCGGCUUUCUGGUCUGUAACUGACGCUGAGGCGCGAAAGCGUGGGGAGCAAACAGGAUUAGAUACCCUGGUAGUCCACGCCGUAAACGAUGAGUGCUAAGUGUAGGGGGUUUCCGCCCCUUAGUGCUGCAGCUAACGCAUUAAGCACUCCGCCUGGGGAGUACGGCCGCAAAGGCUG
rnacentral:rRNA from 1 species